CCUACGGGAGGCAGCAGUGAGGAAUAUUGGUCAAUGGGCGCGAGCCUGAACCAGCCAAGCAGCGUGAAGGAGGACUGCCCUACGGGUUGUAAACCUCUUUUGUAAAGGAAUAAAGUGAGGCACGUGUGCCUUUUUGUAUGUACUUUAUGAAUAAGGAUCGGCUAACUCCGUGCCAGCAGCCGCGGUAAUACGGAGGAUCCGAGCGUUAUCCGGAUUUAUUGGGUUUAAAGGGGGCGUAGAUGGGUUGUUAAGUCAGUUGUGAAAGUUUGGGGCUCAACCGUAAAAUUGCAAUUGAUACUGGCAGUCUUGAGUAGAGGAGAGGUAGGCGGAAUGCGUGGUGUAGCGGUGAAAUGCUUAGAUAUCACGAAGAACUCCGAUUGCGAAGGCAGCUUACUAGACUGACACUGACAUUGAUGCUCGAAAGUGUGGGUAUCGAACAGGAUUAGAUACCCGUGUAGUC
rnacentral:rRNA from 1 species